rnacentral:snRNA from 1 species
GGAUGUGAGGGCGAUCUUUUUUUGACAUCUGUCACCCCAUUGAUUGCCAGGGUUGAUUUGGCUGAUCUGACUGGCUAGGCAGGUGUCCCCUUCCUCCCUCACUGCUCCAUGUGUGUCCCUCCCGAAGCUGCAUGCUCGGGUAAAGAGGACAACCAUCCCCCAUAUUUUUUUGCCAGUCUUCGUUCAAGGGUAUUCGAGUAGCUGUAUUCCCCUGCUAGAACCUCCAGACACACUCUCAUUUUUUUUCAGAUUUAAUAAAGGCCAUAGGCCAGA